rnacentral:rRNA from 1 species
UACGAGGGGGCAAGCGUUGUUCGGAAUUAUUGGGCGUAAAGGGCGCGUAGGCGGUGCGGUAAGUCUGAUGUGAAAUCUCCGGGCUCAACUCGGAGUCUGCAUCAGAAACUGCCGUGCUUGAGUGUGGGAGAGGUGAGUGGAAUUCCUGGUGUAGCGGUGAAAUGCGUAGAUAUCAGGAGGAACACCUGUGGCGAAAGCGGCUCACUGGACCAUAACUGACGCUGAUGCACGAAAGCUAGGGAGCAAACAGG